GAAAAAACUAAAACAUAGCUUUUAUUCCAAAAGAUUUAUAUUUCUCAUUUCUGCAAAAACAUUUUUGGGGCUCAUUAGAUUUUUUUUAUAAAAAUUGGAUAAAAAUGCCAAAAAUUGCCUGAAAUCUACAAGAGUUAUUUCCCUUUUUAGAACUCACCAAAGUUUAAAAAUAGAAAAAGUCAUUCGUUUAUCUACAGAAAAAUGGAGACAGACGUCUGUAACAUGUUUUGCGUGUUUAAAUCAACAUAUUUUACACUUUACAUCUAAUAUAAAUAUAUCUGUAUACAUUCCUCAUAAUGGCUGGUCAGUUUCAUAACAAUGAUAAGCAUUUACUAUGACAAUGUAUGUUCAGAGGACAUAAAAGUCAUAACAAACUUGAGAGAACAUGUGAAAAUCGUGAUGAAGACCAUGAUGAACAGGAUGCUGUUUGUACAGAAUGUGAUUUGCUCCCGCCACCUUCAUCAAUAUUACAAAUAUGUUCAAUCCAUUGUUCAAUGUACUUGGACACAAUGAAAAAAGAAAAAGGGGGAAACUAAUGUGAAGUUCCGUUUUGAUCAACACCUGUGACAUGAACAGUCUGCUGCUAAAAAAAUGACUGUCACUGUCUAAUGUUGAAACUAUAAAUACACUUCAUGGAUUAUUCCUUCAACUUGAAACAGGUACAUGUAUUUGCAGAGACUGUAGUCUAGACCUGGUAGACAAAUGUUAAUAAAUUGCCAAAGCAAAGCAGUGCAACAUUAAAAAUAUGAAUGUAAAUAAGAUCAUGUCACAGCUUUAGAUGAUUCAGGUCCAAUCAAAAGAGCAAGAAAGACAAUACCAGUUAAAGGUGUCCAUUGUUAAUCCUAGAAGACACAAUUAAAAGUGAGCAAGCUGAUUUGAGUCAAAGUUCAGAUUCUUCUAUUUGUAAUCCCUUAAAGCUGGAAGCCUUGGACUGAUUGCUCAGUUUUUUAGAAAAUGGAAAUCGAGAAAACUAUUGAGGAAGACAGAUGCACAUAAGAUAAUUCUUAACAAAAGCAUCAGUGGAGAGCAUGUUAUCAUGCAACAUAGAC